rnacentral:lncRNA from 1 species
GCUCUCUCAUUUCAGAGUCUCCUUUUGAAGUGGUUCAAAGGUAGAGAGCACUUUAGGAGAAUGGUGUGUUUUAAAACCUGGCUGGCAUUUACAAUGUUCUGCUCUGUUCUUCUCUGCAUUAGCUAUAAGAUAGUGGGAACAACUUCAGAAGAUGCAGAGUGAGUUUUGAUGGGAAAGAGACUCUUCAUGGGCUACUCUAGAACAAACAAUGGAAACGGAUCACAGGAAAGAAUGAAGGACAUGGUUCAUGUCUGAUUCAGACAGGAACAUGCUGUCCUCUGAGAGACUCCAUUCAGCAGCUGACUCAGAUGCAGACACCCACAACUAAACAGUGGAUGGAGCUUGGGGACUCUUACGGAAAAAUAGGAGGAAGGAUUCUGGGCCUAGAAGGAGAUAGGAACUCCACAGGAAGACCAGAGCCAACUAACAUGGACUGCUGGGGAUCUCAGAACAUAUAUGACCUGGACCUACACUUCCCUGCACCUAUGUAGCCGAUGUGCAGCUUGGUCUUCUUGUGGGUCCCGAAACAACUGGAGCAGGGACUAUCCCAAAAGCUGUUGCUUGUAUGUCGGAUAUCUUCUACCAGCUGGGCUGCCUUGUCUGUUCUCAGUGGGAGAGGAAGCAGAGACUUGAAGUGCUGGGUUUGGGGGUCUGUGUGAUACCCAGAGGUCCCCCACCAGCUCAGAGAAGAAUGGGGGAAUGGAGGAAGGGUUGUGAGAGAGGAUGACUAGAAGGAGGGUAGUAAGCAGGUUGUAAAGUGAAUAAGAAAAAAAAAGAAUUAAAUUAAAACAAACAAACAAACAAAAAACACCAAAGGAUUCCUCUCACAACACAAUUGGAGAGAAAUUAAUCAAAGAACCCAGUUCUUGUAGCCAAGCUGUCACACCGCCCACUAAGCCUACAAGUGGGAAUUCCAUUCAAAUAGUUGCAAAACAGUCCUUAAUACUUCAUCUUGUCUAUUAAUGGUCAGUUUGUCUCUGCAGUCAAACAGAACAAUCUUGUUUUCUCUAAUGAAAAGAAAAUUAAGUUAAAUCUUAAAA